AAGUAAAAAGAAAAACUAAACAUAUAUAAAUCCAUAUAUUAAAUUUAGAACAAAUUAGUAUAACAAAUUUCAAUUCAUACAAACAUAACUCAAUUGUAUUAAUUAAUCUCUCCCAUACAAAAGGCUGCGAAGAAAGAAGAAGAAAGACCGUUGAAUAAAAAUGGAUAAUAAUAAACAAACUGCCAUCUUCACUUGCAAUAGCUUCGCCAAUCCAUUCCAAAUCCGUGCUUUCAAUUUCAACCUCCACGGCCAGGGGGCGCAGACCCAUUUUACAGAGAGUAGUGUUAAGGAAGACGAACAGGUGAUGAAGAGGAAGGUUCAAUGGUGUCUUCUGGUCUUACAUGGACGAGCCUCACGCUUCAAGCAGGCGCCAGAUUCCCUCUCAAUACCCUCAAAUCAAGGGCCUCGUUGGCCCUGAUCCACUGGCUUUUAUUAUGCUUACUGCAGUGGUUGUGCUUCAGCUAAGGACAGCCACGACUCUACAAAGCGCAAGCUGGCUGAACAUUCUUGGAAUUGCAUACUUCUUUGGCUCUUUUCUGAACCAUAGCCUCUUUUUAGCUAUCCAUGAACUUAGCCACAACCUUGCCUUCUCAAAUCCUGCUUACAACCGUUAGCUUGGAAUAUUUGCCAAUCUUUCCAUGAGCUUAGCCACAACCUUGCCUUCUCAAAUCCUACUUACAACUGUUAGCUUGGGAUAUUUGCCAAACUUCCCAUUGGUGUCCCCAUGUCUCUAACUUUCCAGAAGUAUCAUCUCGAGCACCAUCAUUUCCAAGGCGUCAAUGGUACCGAGUCAAACUAAAGCCAAUGAGACGUGUUCAAACCCGGCCAGGAGACGUGUUCGUACUACAGCCCGCUUAACCUUCUUACAUGGAGCGUUGGCUACCACAAGGAGCGCCAUGAUUUCCCAAGGAUUCCUGAAAACAAGCUUUACAAGGUGAAUGAAAUUGCACCAGAGUAUUUUAAUGGUUUAAAGUCGUACAAGUCAUUUAUUUGUAUAUUAUUGAUAGAACAAUUGGCCAUUUUAGUCGUAUGAAGAGAGAAGCAAAGAAACCUGAACAGUUGUUAACUUGUUAUUUUCCUUCAUGGUAAAUUGGUAAUUGACUAGAUUGGUUCUUGCAA